AUUGAACGCUGGCGGCAGGCCUAACACAUGCAAGUCGAGCGGAUGACGGGAGCUUGCUCCUUGAUUCAGCGGCGGACGGGUGAGUAAUGCCUAGGAAUCUGCCUGGUAGUGGGGGACAACGUUUCGAAAGGAACGCUAAUACCGCAUACGUCCUACGGGAGAAAGCAGGGGACCUUCGGGCCUUGCGCUAUCAGAUGAGCCUAGGUCGGAUUAGCUAGUUGGUGGGGUAAUGGCUCACCAAGGCGACGAUCCGUAACUGGUCUGAGAGGAUGAUCAGUCACACUGGAACUGAGACACGGUCCAGACUCCUACGGGAGGCAGCAGUGGGGAAUAUUGGACAAUGGGCGAAAGCCUGAUCCAGCCAUGCCGCGUGUGUGAAGAAGGUCUUCGGAUUGUAAAGCACUUUAAGUUGGGAGGAAGGGCAGUAAGCUAAUACCUUGCUGUUUGACGUUACCGACAGAAUAAGCACCGGCUAACUCUGUGCCAGCCGCCGCUGUAAAAC
rnacentral:rRNA from 1 species